GACGAACGCUGGCGGCGUGCCUAAUGCAUGCAAGUUGAGCGCUGAAGGUUGGUACUUGUACCAACUGGAUGAGCAGCGAACGGGUGAGUAACGCGUGGGGAAUCUGCCUUUGAGCGGGGGACAACAUUUGGAAACGAAUGCUAAUACCGCAUAAAAACUUUAAACACAAGUUUUAAGUUUGAAAGAUGCAAUUGCAUCACUCAAAGAUGAUCCCGCGUUGUAUUAGCUAGUUGGUGAGGUAAAGGCUCACCAAGGCGAUGAUACAUAGCCGACCUGAGAGGGUGAUCGGCCACAUUGGGGCUGAGACACGGCCCAAACUCCUACGGGAGGCAGCAGUAGGGAAUCUUCGGCAAUGGACGAAAGUCUGACCGAGCAACGCCGCGUGAGUGAAGAAGGUUUUCGGAUCGUAAAACUCUGUUGGUAGAGAAGAACGUUGGUGAGAGUGGAAAGCUCAUCAAGUGACGGUAACUACCCAGAAAGGGACGGCUAACUACGUG
rnacentral:rRNA from 1 species